UGUCGUAUAGCCUAUUGUUUAGGGCGCCCCCGCUUGCACUCUGGAGACUCGAGUUCGAGUCCUGGUGCGACAA
rnacentral:tRNA from 1 species